CCUACGGGUGGCAGCAGUGAGGAAUAUUGGUCAAUGGCCGAGAGGCUGAACCAGCCAAGUCGCGUGAGGGAAGACGGCCCUACGGGUUGUAAACCUCUUUUGUCGGGGAGCAAAGCGAACCACGUGUGGUUCAUUGAGAGUACCCGAAGAAAAAGCAUCGGCUAACUCCGUGCCAGCAGCCGCGGUAAUACGGAGGAUGCGAGCGGUAUCCGGAUUUAUGUGGGUUAAAGGGUGCGCAGGCGGAGGUGCAAGUCAGCGGUCAACUGGCGGGGCUCAACCCCGUACUGCCGUUGAAACUGCAUCCCUGGAGUGCGCGAGAAGUAUGCGGAAAGCGUGGUGUAGCGGUGAAAGGCAUAGAUAUCA
rnacentral:rRNA from 1 species